CACGUAGUUAGCCGGGGCUUUCUUCUCAGGUACCGUCACUCCGAUAGCAGUUACUCUAUCGGACGUUCUUCCCUGGCAACAGAGCUUUACGAUCCGAAAACCUUCAUCACUCACGCGGCGUUGCUCCGUCAGACUUGCGUCCAUUGCGGAAGAUUCCCUACUGCUGCCUCCCGUAGGAGUCUGGGCCGUGUCUCAGUCCCAGUGUGGCCGAUCACCCUCUCAGGUCGGCUACGCAUCGUCGCCUUGGUGAGCCGUUACCUCACCAACUAGCUAAUGCGCCGCAGGCCCAUCCUCAAGUGACAGAUUGCUCCGUCUUUCCAGAUUCGUCCAGGCGAACAAAUCAUGUAUUCGGUAUUAGCUACCGUUUCCGGUAGUUGUCCCAAGCUUGAGGGCAGGUUGCCUACGUGUUACUCACCCGUCCGCCGCUAAGCAUCAGAGAAGCAAGCUUCUCAUCAACUCCGCUCGACUUGCAUGUAUUAGGCACGCCGC
rnacentral:rRNA from 1 species